GGAGAGAUGGCCGAGAGGUCGAAGGCGCACGCCUGGAGAGCGUGUAGACGUUACCGCGUCUCCUGGGUUCGAAUCCCAGUCUCUCCGCCA
rnacentral:tRNA from 1 species